GAUGAACGCUGGCGGCGUGCCUAAUACAUGCAAGUCGAGCGAACGGACGAGAAGCUUGCUUCUCUGAUGUUAGCGGCGGACGGGUGAGUAACACGUGGAUAACCUACCUAUAAGACUGGGAUAACUUCGGGAAACCGUAGCUAAUACCGGAUAAUAUUUUGAACCGCAUGGUUCAAAAGUGAAAGACGGUCUUGCUGUCACUUAUAGAUGGAUCCGCGCUGCAUUAGCUAGUUGGUAGGGUAACGGCUUACCAAGGAAACGAUGCAUAGCCGACCUGAGAGGGUGAUCGGCCACACUGGAACUGAGACACGGUCCAGACUCCUACGGGAGGCAGCAGUAGGGAAUCUUCCGCAAUGGGCGAAAGCCUGACGGAGCAACGCCGCGUGAGUGAUGAAGGUCUUCUGAUCGUAAAACUCUGUUAUUAGGGAAGAACAUAUGUGUAAGUAACUGUGCACAUCUUGACGGUACCUAAUCAGAAAGCCACGGCUAACUACGUG
rnacentral:rRNA from 1 species